rnacentral:rRNA from 1 species
GAUGAACGCUGGCGGCGUGCCUAAUACAUGCAAGUCGAGCGAACGGACGAGAAGCUUGCUUCUCUGAUGUUAGCGGCGGACGGGUGAGUAACACGUGGAUAACCUACCUAUAAGACUGGGAUAACUUCGGGAAACCGGAGCUAAUACCGGAUAAUAUUUUGAACCGCAUGGUUCAAAAGUGAAAGACGGUCUUGCUGUCACUUAUAGAUGGAUCCGCGCUGCAUUAGCUAGUUGGUAAGGUAACGGCUUACCAAGGCAACGAUGCAUAGCCGACCUGAGAGGGUGAGCGGCCAAACGGGAACUGAGACACGGUACAGACUCCGACGGGAGGCAGCAGUGGGGAAUGUUCCGCAAUGGGCGAAAGCCUGACAGAGCAACGCCGCGUGAGUGAUGAAGGUCUUCGGAUCGUAAAACACUGUUAGUAGGGAAGAACAUAUGUGUAAGUAAAUGUGCACAGCUGGACGGUACCUAAACAGAAAGCCACGGCUAACUACGUG